CCUAGGGGAGGCAGCAGUGGGGAAUAUUGGACAAUGGGCGAAAGCCUGAUCCAGCCAUGCCGCGUGUGUGAAGAAGGCCUUCGGGUUGUAAAGCACUUUCAGUGGGGAAGAAAGCCUUGGGGCUAAUACCCUCGAGGAAGGACAUCACCCACAGAAGAAGCACCGGCUGACUCCGUGCCAGCAGCCGCGGUAAUACGGAGGGUGCGAGCGUUAAUCGGAAUUACUGGGCGUAAAGCGCGCGUAGGCGGUCUGAUAAGCCGGUUGUGAAAGCCCCGGGCUCAACCUGGGAACGGCAUCCGGAACUGUCAGGCUAGAGUGCAGGAGAGGAAGGUAGAAUUCCCGGUGUAGCGGUGAAAUGCGUAGAGAUCGGGAGGAAUACCAGUGGCGAAGGCGGCCUUCUGGACUGACACUGACGCUGAGGUGCGAAAGCGUGGGUAGCAAACAGGAUUAGAUACCCGUGUAGUC
rnacentral:rRNA from 1 species